UUGUUUAAAACACGGGAUAUUUGAAUAUUAUGUGUCAAAGGUGUCCCGUCUUCCACCACCCUACUAUAACAUGCACAACUUGGGAUCCGAGAGGCACGGUAUAGGGUGCGGCAUUACCCCACAAUAUAAAAAAGCAAUUAAUUGAUCGCCAUCUGAGUUUAAGUGUCUCGCAACUAAAGAACACCGUUCCAGUAAACUGAAAUUUUGUAUCGAAUUUCGUUGGGUUUAAAACCCAGCUUUACACCACCGAACCCUUAGAGUGUCGUAUAAGAAUACAUUAUUUCUUUCCUUCACCAAACGGUCCGCAAGUAACUUGUACUGGCAUAAAAUAUUAAUGACCUUUCGAUCCGACUAUUUGGUUCGGUUAUUAUUUCCCAUGAUCGACCCACGAAAGAUAUUUAUCCCCUAGAACUGGAUUUAGUUUUACCGUCAAUGAGAUCUUGGCAGACGAAGCAGAAUCGUCAUUGGGCUGUAGGGUGUUAGGGAAAUUAUGUGUAAGAGUCGGAGUUUAUGUUAGUCAGUGUAAAGUACUGUAAGGUAUAGCAUGGACAACGUUAAUAGCAAUUAGUAACGUAUGUUUCCUAAUCGUGUUUUAUAACAGCCAAAAACGCUCCCUUAGAAUCGUGAGUCUACUAUACGGUUAUAUAAUUCAGUAAGUAUUUUUUGUUUAAUAUUUAAUGGGACGAUAAAAGAGAAUGAAAACAUGGGCUAUUUACCGCAACUUACUAUAUAGGUGUGAUGUGCGUAAUAGGUUUUGUUUCAAGUUUUAUUUUAAACACGGGACAUGUUGACGGCGUUGGGAGACAGAAUUAUAAACCAACUCAAAAUAAAACAAGUAUUCAAAUUUGUAAUUGUUGGCAGAUAUAAUUAAACGGAUCAUGGUUAGGUCUUGGUUUAUGGUAGUUAGUUUAGCGAAGCUUCGAAUGUUUUUCAUGGCGACACUUGUGCUGUGGCUGUUAAUUGGACUCGUGUUUCAAAUAACGCAAGAAAGUCACAUAUUAAAGAACUCAAGCCUCAAGGAAAUAAUCAAGUCUACUAAAACUGAUACUAAUGAUUUAAGAAUCACAUCUAUGCCGAUGACUGAACGGACGUUGCCGAAACGACUAGCACCUGUUCGGUGCAAUAACAGCAGUGGAUGUCACCUCAGAACGCCAUAUAGCGAAUGGUCUCGAAAUAUAGAUGGUACUGCCUAUGUAGGAAACGAGGGAUUAAACCAAAUUCACUGUCGGGUAAAACCGGCAAACUAUAGCUUAAAUCAAGCCCGCAUGUUCGAAUCUCUGCCUAAGAACUUUUUAGAAUAUUCAAGACUCCCAACGGCGCCGCCUUUCUGCGGGAGACGAGGCCUCCUAUCCCCGUGGAAGUUUACGGAAAGUUCGAAAGAAAUUUGGAUGAUAUUUAUAGUUAAAUCCGCCACACACCACAUGCAAGCGAGAGAUGUAAUCAGGGAGACAUGGGGUUCAAUCGAAUUUUUACGAGGAACGAGGUUCGCCACAUUAUUUCUACUCGGGAGGACAUCAACGUCAGAAGAACAAUUUCUUCUCAACAGAGAGAACGAAAUGUUUGGGGAUCUUUUACAAUGUGAUUUACUGGAUGAAUACAAAGCCCUUCCACUAAAGGUUUUAUCAUCGUUUCGUUGGUUAUUGGAAGGACAUAUGACGUCAUCAUACUACACCGUCACCGACGAUGAUUGCGUCAUGAACCUUAUGAAUAUUAACACUUUCUUUCAUGUGGAACGCUAUGAUGACGUCAUUUAUUGCGGAUUUAUUUUUGACCAAGAUUCAAAAGUUAACAGGCAGCGUAAAAGUAAAUGGUACAUCAGUAAAGACGUUUACUCUGGUCUUUACUAUCCCACCUUCUGCCACGGUGGAAUGUGGAGUCUACAGAAACCAAUGAUGCGUGACGUAUACUGUAUGGCGGAAGUGACGCAACGAAACGAGUUUUAUCUUGAAGAUGUUUAUAUUACAGGCAAGCACCAGUGUUAUUCUAUCUCUUAUUUAAAAAGUAGUAAAUGUCCCAAACGUGCUGCAUGUUUUGGGCAAAAUACAGAAGAAUGCAAUAGUAUUCUGUAGGACUUAGAUGGAUGUCGUUACUUCAUAAUAUCCCAUAUUUCACAAUCGAGUUUUUAACAAUUAACAAAGCUCUUUUAAAGUUGAAUACUGCGAGAAAAACUCGGACGAAGAGAUUCGAAUAUUUUACCUGCAACAACUAACAGCGGAUCAAAAUAUCUCCUAAUGUAUUAUCCCUGGGAUGAGACGAAUCGAGCUUAUAUUAAAAUGACUGCCAAGUGGCGAAAAUUAAACCGAACCCUACCAUGGGGUAUCAACUCAAGUUCGGGGGAGCCUUUGGUGGGAUCGUACAAACCGCAAACUUUGCACACUAAGCAAAAUGUAAAGCUUUUGUUGCUACAGUGGUCGCAUUUAAAGGACGCGGAAACGAAUAGAACUAAAUAAUUUACUGCCAUGUCUUUAUUGUUUCGCCAUUUCUUAUCAGUGUUAAACUAGAAAUAUAUCAACAUAAAAUA